UGCAAGUCGAGCGGCAGCGCGGUAGCAAUACUGGCGGCGAGCGGCGGACSGGUGAGUAAUGCUUUGGAAUCUGCCCAUCAGUGGGGGACAACCCGGGGAAACUCGGGCUAAUACCGCAUACGUCUCAAGAGAGAAAGCAGGGGACCGCAAGGCCUUGCGCUGAUGGAUGAGCCAAAGUCGGAUUAGCUAGUUGGCGAGGUAAAGGCUCACCAAGGCGACGAUCCGUAGCUGGUCUGAGAGGACGACCAGCCACACCGGAACUGAGACACGGUCCGGACUCCUACGGGAGGCAGCAGUGGGGAAUAUUGGACAAUGGGGGAAACCCUGAUCCAGCGACGCCGCGUGGGUGAAGAAGGCCUGCGGGUUGUAAAGCCCUUUCGUUGGGGAAGAAAAGUUGCUACCUAACACGUAGCGACCUUGACGUUACCCAAAGAAGAAGCACCGGCUAACUCUGUGCCAGCAGCCGCGGUAAUACAGAGGGUGCGAGCGUUAAUCGGAAUUACUGGGCGUAAAGCGCACGCAGAUGGCUUUGUAAGUUGGAUGUGAAAUCCCCGGGCUUAACCUGGGAACUGCAUUCAAAACUGCAUCGCUCGAAUGUGGAAGAGGGAAGCGGAAUUCCGGGUGUAGCGGUGAAAUGCGUAGAUAUCCGGAGGAACAUCAGUGGCGAAAGCGGCUUCCUGGUCCAACAUUGACAUUCA
rnacentral:rRNA from 1 species